rnacentral:rRNA from 1 species
GACAGAGGUGCCGAGCGUUAGGCGGAAUCACUGGGCUUAAAGCGUGUGUAGGCGGGUUCGUCCGUACCUUGUGAAAUCCCACGGCUCAACCGUGGAACUGCUCGGUAUACUGCGAGUCUUGAGCUGUCUAGGGGCGACCGGAACAAGCGGUGGAGCGGUGAAAUGCGUAGAGAUUGGAAAGAACACCGAUGGCGAAGGCACUUUACUGGGCUAUUACUAACACUCAGAGACGAAAGCUAGGGUAGCAAAUGGG